GAAUUGACGGGGAGCACCACAACGGGUGGAGCUUGCGGUUUAAUUUGGAUUCAACGCCGGAAAUCUUACCGGGACCGACAGCAAUAUGAAGGCCAGGCUGAAGACUUUGCCGGAUUAGCUGAGAGGUGGUGCAUGGCCGUCGUCAGUUCGUACUGUGAAGCAUCCUGUUAAGUCAGGCAACGAGCGAGACCCACGCCCACAGUUGCCAGCGUACUCUCUGGAGUGACGGGUACACUGUGGGACCGCCGCUGCUAAAGCGGAGGAAGGAAUGGGCAACGGUAGGUCAGUAUGCCCCGAAUAUCCCGGGCUACACGCGAGCUACAAUGGUUGGUACAAUGGGUAUCUACCCCGAAAGGGGACGGGAAUCUCCUAAAACCAAUCUUAGUUCGGAUUGAGGGCUGCAACUCGCCCUCAUGAAGCUGGAAUCCGUAGUAAUCGCGUUUCAACAGAACGCGGUGAAUACGUCCCUGCUCCUU
rnacentral:rRNA from 1 species